GAAUGAUUGGGAACCAAUGAAUAGUUGUUCAGUAAAUGGUUUAUAUUUUACAGAUGAUGAAACUGAAACACAAAAAAUUUAGAUUAACUCUUAGGUGACAAAGGCCAGGAUUGAAGCUCAUGCGGUCUGGCUCCAGAACAACUCUUCUUCAUAGUUACGUUAUACUGCCCCUGCAUUGUUGGUAUUGAAAAUAACUGAUACCGUGCUUCCAGAAGAUUUUUCUAACAGUGUUUGCAGGCUAUAAAAUAGUGCUUUCACUUGGAAAAGGCUAGACGUGGUGGUUCAUGCCUGUAAUCCCAGCACUUUGAGAGGCCGAGGCACCAUGCCGGGAGAUAAGGAUCCAACAUAAGACAAACAGUGCUGAUGCUUUUGGAAAGCUCAUAUUCAAGCUGGGGAGACAAACAACAUACAAGUUGCUGUAGCUACCUUCUGCAUAUGGAUAUCCAGUUUUCCCAGCACCACUUAUUAAAGAGACUGUCUUUUCUGCAGUGUAUAUUCUUGGCACCGUUGUUGAAAAUGAAUUCAUUGUAGGUGUG
rnacentral:lncRNA from 1 species